AAUGGACGAAAGUCUGACGCAGCAACGCCGCGUGAGGGAUGACGGCCUUCGGGUUGUAAACCUCUGUUGGAUGGGAAAAAAAGCAGCAAUGUUUGAUGGUACCAUUCGAGUAAGCACCGGCUAACUACGUGCCAGCAGCCGCGGUAAUACGUAGGGUGCAAGCGUUGUUCGGAAUCACUGGGCGUAAAGAGAGCGUAGGCGGGAUCGUAAGUUAGGAGUUUAAUCCUCGGGCUCAACCUGAGGUCUGCUUUUAAUACUGCGGUUCUUGAGUAUGGGAGAGGGCGAUGGAAUUCCAGGUGUAGCGGCGGAAUGCGUAGAUAUCUGGAAGAACACCAGUAGCGAAGGCGGUCGCCUGGCCCAAUACUGACGCUGAGGCUCGAAAGCUAGGGGAGCAAA
rnacentral:rRNA from 1 species